CCUUUGCCUCGUCUUCCUUCAGGAAUCUACGCCUGAAGCAAGGCGAGGUGAAGAGA
rnacentral:pre_miRNA from 1 species